GCUUUACAUGAAAGGAGAGAAGGUUAGCAUUCCCCUUGACAAGGAUGGAAGAGGCCCUUAGGCCUUACAACAUGCAAACGGUUAAGGCAUUGCCACCUGUGAGACAGUUGUGAGACAGCAAAAAAUCUGA